rnacentral:rRNA from 1 species
UUAAAGGAAUUGACGGGGCCGCACAAGCGGUGGAGCAUGUUGGUUUAAUUCGAAGCAACGCGAAGAACCUUACCAGGUCUUGACAUCCCGAUGCUAUUUCUAGAGAUAGAAAGUUACUUCGGUACAUCGGUGACAGGUGGUGCAUGGUUGUCGUCAGCUCGUGUCGUGAGAUGUUGGGUUAAGUCCCGCAACGAGCGCAACCCCUAUUGUUAGUUGCCAUCAUUCAGUUGGGCACUCUAGCGAGACUGCCGGUAAUAAACCGGAGGAAGUGGGGAUGACGUCAAAUCAUCAUGCCCCUUAUGACCUGGGCUACACACGUGCUACAAUGGUUGGUACAACGAGUUGCGAGUCGGUGACGGCGAGCUAAUCUCUUAAAGCCAAUCUCAGUUCGGAUUGUAGGCUGCAACUCGCCUACAUGAAGUCGGAAUCGCUAGUAAUCGCGGAUCAGCACGCCGCGGUGAAUACGUUCCCGGGCCUU